CACGAACGCUGGCGGCAUGCCUAACACAUGCAAGUCGAACGAGAUCUUCGGGUCUAGUGGCGCACGGGUGCGUAACGCGUGGGAAUCUGCCCUUUGGUUCGGAAUAACAGUUGGACACGACUGCUAAUACCGGAUGAUGACGAAAGUCCAAAGAUUUAUCGCUAGAGGAUGAGCCCGCGUAGGAGUAGCUAGUUGGUGUGGUAAAGGCGCACCAAGGCGACGAUCCUUAGCUGGUCUGAGAGGAUGAUCAGCCACACUGGGACUGAGACACGGCCCAGACUCCUACGGGAGGCAGAAGUGGGGAAUAUUGGACAAUGGGCGAAAGCCUGAUCCAGCAAUGCCGCGUGAGUGAUGAAGGCCUUAGGGUUGUAAAGCUCUUUUACCCGGGAUGAUAAUGACAGUACCGGGAGAAUAAGCUCCGGCUAACUCCGUGCCAGCAGCCGCCGUAACAC
rnacentral:rRNA from 1 species